rfam:Pongo abelii chromosome 1.
CCAAAGGCUCUUUUUAGAGCCAUCGUUUUCCCUGGCAGGUGGUA